GGAACACGUUAGGGGUCCUCGGGGCGCAGGCCGCGGGGUGAGACAAACCCUCUGAACCUGAUGCGGGUAAUGCCGUCGUAGGGAAGCGUGGUGCGACAUCC
rnacentral:ncRNA from 2 species